UACGUAGGGUGCAAGCGUUGUCCGGAAUUAUUGGGCGUAAAGAGCUCGUAGGCGGUUUGUCGCGUCUGCUGUGAAAACGCGGGGCUCAACUCCGCGCCUGCAGUGGGUACGGGCAGACUAGAGUGCAGUAGGGGGAGACUGGAAUUCCUGGUGUAGCGGUGGAAUGCGCAGAUAUCAGGAGGAACACCGGUGGCGAAGGCGGGUCUCUGGGCUGUAACUGACGCUGAGGAGCGAAAGCGUGGGUAGCGAACAGG
rnacentral:rRNA from 1 species